rnacentral:rRNA from 1 species
UACAGAGGAUGCAAGCGUUAUCCGGAAUGAUUGGGCGUAAAGCGUCUGUAGGUGGCUUUUAAGUCCGCCGUCAAAUCCCAGGCUCAACUCUGGACAGGCGGUGGAAACUACCAAGCUGGAGUACGGUAGGGCAGAGGGAAUUUCCGGUGGAGCGGUGAAAUGCGCAGAUAUACGGGAGGAACACCGGUGGCGAAAGGCGGUUCUCUGGGCC